UCUGUGUAUGCAUGUAUGUGUGACAGACAUAGGGGUUUGUAGGCUACAUGUGCGUGUGUCUUGUGCUGCGAUUGUCCACACUUGCAUAUGUUUCAUUGAGUCCAUUUGAGAGAGUCUAAUAUAAACCGUUUCCCACUUCAUAGUUUAUAGCUUAUGCCCCCUAUAAUGUGUGGCAUUAUAGGGAUAUAGGGUAUCAUGUAGGUAUAGGCUGCAAUGGACAGUAAAUAAUUAAAGCCUAUCGACAUCAUACGAUUUAAGUGGCCUUAAAAACAAAACAUAAUCCUACACAUUUGAUAUGCCAGAUAUACACGUGGUAUAAUAAGGCCUAGUAAAAUAGUAACUAGGUUUUAGACUAGCCUACUUUACAAUAUGCGAAGAGGUUGGUCACAGGCUACGACGUACGGAACAAAACAAUGGUUUAACAAAUAAUACAUACGAUUACAGAAAGCCUAAAUGCGUUGAGUAAAAUACGUCUAGUGUGUGUGUGUGUGUGUCGUGUGUGCGCUCCCGCCCGCGCACCAGUGUGUGUUCUAUUUUUUCACCGCUAGGUGACGCCAAACGUUCAAAAUAAUCCACGGAGGCCGUCAUUCACUUGAUCUAGGCCUUACGCUAGUAUUAAAAGACAGGGAAAAUAUCUAUAAAUAAAUAAUUAUUGAUUCUAUUUCGUAAUGCAUUUUACAAAGGAAUGUGUGCCAAUGAAGGGUUAUUUUAAACUUCCAUGCCAAAUUGUGUCCAUUGGUGAACCAAUGUUUUGAGAUUUUAUAUGAUGAAAAAUCAUGACACAUGCAGUCUAAUUAUAUGAAUUAGUGUUAAUUUCUCUCUGCUGCAUCCUAUCCCUAUCCCACUAACUUUCUUAGUGCCCGAAAUACCUUAUACAAAAGGCUACAUUAUUCCACGACAGACUAGGCUACAGUAUAGAUUAGUAUGUAUCUACAAACUGUCGUAGUAUAUAUAAUGCAUGAAGUGACCCUAAUUACAGUAAUAUACCUUGCCCAUAAAGUAGGCCUACACGCAAUCGCUCAAGAUAUAUCAACGUGUAUACACACAGGCGAAAGCGUGUGUUUAAAAGAAACAGUUAGAUGUCUAAGCAUUUGCCCACGAUACAGGAAUGAGCAUUUUCAUUGGAUAUAACUAGCUUUACUAAAAUAUUUUAAAAAUACACCUAUUGUAGUUUACCUUAAGUUCAUCAUCAUGUCGUGGGAGAUAAAAUAAAAAUGACAGAUUCAGGCAAACAAAUUGAAAAAAAGGGAAAUUGUUGGUAAAAAAAAAAACAAUAUUACAUACAUGUGUUAUAUACAUACAUAUUUCUGAAAUUAAGGACAAUUGUGGACAGAUUUUGAACAAUGUCCUGCGCUUGCUUCCACGCGCAAUUAUCUGGGUAUAUCGUCUACUUAGACCCUACUCAGAAGAUGACAAUAGGGCUACUUCUUUCUUAGUAGUUGUUGUGGUUCCGUGCUUACAACGGAAGAAAUCACGACAAUAUUGACAAAUAUGGCUCAUUUCUGGCUAAUAUAUUAACUCCACACACUAAAAUCAUGACACUGUGUUGUAGCCUAUGAUCACUUCAUGGCCCAUAAUGGUGAUCUAUUUCAUCUUAAUUAGUAGCAUGCUGUUAAAUUUUGUGAUGACCUAUUAUUAUUUCCCUACAAAUAUUUAACAGUACACAUAUCUGUCCUGUAAGGUGACCUGGAACAUAAUGAGAGCUGAAAUUCGAGUUGGUUCCUCCUUUGGACGGGUCGGAUGCGGUUGGGAUGCUCUGCCUUUAGUGCUUGGUAAGUAUGCAUUAUUAUGGUAAUCUUGGUCCUGCCUUGUUGCUUCGUGACAAACCAUGCAUGUGCAUUUCAGAACUUGAGGCCAUACGAGAUGGAAAGGGAAGCGGACAUGACAUAAAGUGUCUAAGUGCAGUUUCAUAUUUAAGAGAAUCUCUUAAAUCUAUCACACUUCUCGCCAACAUUUACGGAAUGUCAUUGGCACUUUUUUUACGAGCGAACUACUUGUAGGCAUGGCGCAAAUGUGUUUUAGCUCUCCCGGGUCAUUUUUUUCUCGUCCGAUCGCCUGACCACUUCUAUUGGGUGGCACAUCACCCAAACGACAAGGAGCAGGGUUCACGAAAUGAGGAGGGAGCUACUCAUAGGAAGUGUGUGAGUCUUACAGAUGGUAGCACAAAUAAAGUUCUUCUGGAAAUUCGCUGCACACCUAUGGCUCUGUCAACCGUCUUGUGGAAGUGGGAAAAUAUGAAGAGAAUUCACAGACAUCCUUGAAAUUCAUGGACCUCCUUGAAAUUCAUCCUCAAUAGAGAAAAGCUACCCAAGGGGCGAGAUGAGAGGCGGCUGCUCUGAAGAGGCGAAGAUGGACAUCAAUCAGCAGAGGUCCACCCUCUAGACCGCAUCUCUCCAGUGUUGGUUGGAACUAUGGGACAUCACUGGACAGUCUUUUUUCACAAUGGACAUAAAAGGACAAUCCUGUUAUGAACAAUCUGAAGCUGAAAAAGACAGUUUAACAAAUGGCAAGUGAUGCCUCAUAAGAGCGCUGCAGCUUCCCCGAGACAAUGUGUCGCAAGUGUGAAAGGAAUGUUGGGGAAAGCUGUGGAUGACUUCACCUCACCUCAAGUUGCCUCAGGGACCAGUACCACAGUGGCUACAAAGUUUUGUUUUAUGGAUACCUGAUAUCUUUGACAAUGUGGAAAAUGGGCUACAAAAAUACGAUGCAAUCUAAAGCACUAGGAACCUACAGCAUUCAUCAUCGAAUGUGUGCACAUUGAGAGUGCUAUUUCCAUUCUGUAGAUUUCCUUUUGAAAUUGUUGCACUGUUUUUUUUUUGUUACUUUGAAAUUCUU